CAAUAGCGUAUAUUAAAGUUGUUGCGGUUAAAAAGCUCGUAGUUGGAUUUCUGCCGAGGACGACCGGUCCGCCCUCUGGGUGUGUAUCUGGUUUGGCCUGGGCAUCUUCUUGGAGAACGUAGCUGCACUUGACUGUGUGGUGCGGUGUCCAGGACUUUUACUUUGAGGAAAUUAGAGUGUUUCAAGCAGGCACACGCCUUGAAUACAUUAGCAUGGAAUAAUAAGAUAGGACUUUGGUGGUCCAUUUUGUUGGUUUGCACGCCAAAGUAAUGAUUAAUAGGGAUAGUUGGGGGUAUUCGUAUUCAAUUGUCAGAGGUGAAAUUCUUGGAUUUAUGGAAGACGAACUACUGCGAAAGCAUUUACCAAGGAUGUUUUCAUUAA
rnacentral:rRNA from 1 species